GCAAAAGGUUUUAGCUCAGUAUUUGAGCAUCUGCUUUGCAUGCAGAAGGUUCCAGGUUCAAUCCCUGGCAUCUGCA